UACCCGUGCCGCGAAGCCGUCCGGUGGAUGGCUCGGCUCGGGCGCCGAGGAAGGGCGUGGCAAGCGGCGAUAUGCCCGGGGUAGCCGCAGGCAGGCGUUGAUCCCGGGAUCCCCGAAUGGGGCUUCCUACCUGGGCCGAAUAGGCUCAGGUGCCCCGUAGGGGGUGGGAACGCGGGGAACGGAAACAUCUUAGUACCCGCAGGAGGGGAAACCAAAAGGGACCCCCUGAGUAGGGGCGACCGAAAGGGGGUUAGCCCAAACCGAACCCCCAUGGGGUAACCGUGGGGGGAUGUGGUGUUUGGGCUUGGGUACCGCCGAGGCAGCCUAGCCGAAGUGGGCUGGAAAGCCCCGCCGUAGAGGGUGAUAGCCCCGUAGGCUAAAGGUUGCUGGCGGAUUCCCAAUGUCCCGGAGUACCACGGCUUGGUUUUGCCGUGGGAAUACGGGGGCCUCCAGCCCCUAAGGCUAAGUACGUCCCGAGUCCGAUAGCGAACAAGUACCGUGAGGGAAAGCUGAAAAGAACCCCGCGAGGGGUGUGAAAAGAGCCUGAAACCGGACGGUUAAAGGUGCGGCGGCCCUCAAGGAUAACCCCACCUGAAGGAAACCGGGGUGACCCGGGAGUACGAGGGUGGGGUACGGGGUCGCCGCUUACGUCCAGAAACACGAGCCAGGGAGUUCCCAUCUGUGGCGAGUCUAAGGGGGUUAACCCCGGAGGCGUAGGGAAACCGAAGGCCCGCAGUCGGGUUAACCGACGAGGGGCUGGGUCCGUUAAGGGCCCGUAGCCACAGGUGGGAGACCAGAAACCGAGCGAUCUAGCCCGGGGUAGGGUGAAGCGGGGCGAAAGCCCCGUGGAGGCCCGAUUGGGGUUCUGACGUGCAAAUCGUUCCCGUGACCCUGGGCUAGGGGCAAAAGACCAAUCAAGCUCGGUGAUAGCUGGUUCCCCCCGAAGCAGCUCUUAGGCUGGCCUCCCUGGAGGGUGCUCAUGGGGUAGAGCACUGAUCCGGGAUGCAGGGGCCGAAAGGCUCCGGUCCCGGGUCAAACUCCGAACCCAUGAGCCCCAUUGAAGGGGGGAGACGGGUUCCCCGGGGGUAAGCUUGGGGGCCGAGAGGGAAACAACCCAGACCGGGGUUAAGGCCCCAAAGUGCGGGCUAAGUGUCAAUCUAGAAGGGUGUCUCCCACCGAAGACGGCGGGACCGUAGGCCCAGCAGCAGCCAUCGGCUAAGCAACGCGUAACAGCGGACCCGCUGAGGUGGGAGGCCCCGAAGACGCACAGGGACUCAAGCCCGCCGCCGAGACCCCGGCCCACGGAUCAUUGAUCCGCGUGGGGUAGGGGGGCGUCGCCGUGGGGCGGAAGCCGGGCCGUGAGGUCCGGUGGACCCGCGGUGAAUGAGGAUCCUGGCGGUAGUAGCAGCGAAGAGGGGUGGGAUACCCCUCCGCCGGAAAGGCCCAGGGUUCCAUGGUAAUGUUCAUCAGCCAUGGGUUAGCCGGUCCUAAGGUGGGGCCUAAUUGGCACCCACCGAAAGGGAAACGGGUUAAUAAUCCCGUGCCGUGGGGGUAGGUUUGCGGCAACGCAGGCCCCAUUCCCGACGUCUCAGGAUAGGGUGAGUGGGGCUGCCGCCCCAUUUAACCGUCGAAGACCGGGGAGUGCCGUCAUGGCGAGAACCGGUUGAAGACGGUAAUAGCCGGGCCUUGAGCCCGGUUCACCCGACUCCUGGGGCCCAUGAAAAGGGAAUGGGGAACGAGCCCCCACGACCGUACCGAGAACCGACACAGGUCGCCUGGGUGAGAAGCCCAAGGCGGGUCGGGUCACGCCAGGCUAGGGAACUCGGCAAAUUAGCCCUGUAACUUCGGGAUAAAGGGUGCCCGCGGUCUGGGUAAAACCCGGGACCGUGGGUCGCAGUGGCAAGGGGGACCUGACUGUUUAACAAAAACAUAGGUCCCCGCGAGCCCGUAAGGGUUUGUACGGGGGCUGAAUCCUGGCCACUGGCGGUACGUGAAACCCGGGUUCAACCGGGCUAAGCGCCGCUGAAGGCCGGGGGUAACUCUGACCCUCUUAAGGUAGCCAAAUGCCUUGCCGGGUAAGUUCCGGCGUGCAUGAAUGGAUCAACGAGGUCCCCACUGUCCCAGCCUGGUGCCCGGCGAACCCACCUCCAGGUGCAGAGUCCUGGGACCCCCGACGGGGCGAGAAGACCCUGUGGACCUUUACUGCAGCCCGUCGUUGGGGUGGGGGAGGGGGUGCAUAGUGUAGGUGGGAGCGAUGAACCAUGGUCUCCGGGCCGUGGGGAUGCGUCAAUGAAACACCACCCAUCUCCUCCUCUGCCCCUAACCCUGGGGUUCACCCAGGGGACAGCGGCGGGUUGGCAGUUUGGCUGGGGCGGCACACCUCUGAAAAGAUAUCAGGGGUGCCCUAAGCUCCGCUCAGGUCGGUCAGAAACCGACCGUAGAGGGUAAGGCCAAAUGCGGGGCUGACUGCCCCCUUGAACGCUAGGGGGGCAGGGGGGAAACCCGGGCCUAGCGAACGCUCGUGCCCCCACUGGAGGGGGCCGGGCAUGUCGGAAAAGGUACCCCAGGAGUAACCGGCUCGUCGCGGGUGAGAGUUCCCAUCGACCCCGCGGUUUGGUACCCAGACGUCGUCUCUUCCCAUCCUGGCGGUGCAGCAGCCGCCAAGGGUGGGGCUGCCCGCCCAUUAAAGGGGAACGUGAGAUGGGUUCAGACCGUCGUGAGACAGGUCGGUCUCUACCUGUCGGGGGUGCUGGCCGCCUGAGGGGAAGGUGCCCUCAGUACGAGAGGAACGGGGCGCCGCGGCCUCUAGUCUACCGGUUGUCCGGCAGGGCAGUGCCGGGCAGCCACGCCGCUUGGGGUAACCGCUGAAGGCAUCUAAGCGGGAAACCCGCCCCUAAAAUAGGCGGCCGCCGCUCCUGACCGGGGUUACCCGGUUGGGGGUGGUUAGGGCUCCCGUAGAAGACGGGGUUGAUGGGGUGGUGGUGUAUCCCCCGAGGGUUUUCCCGAGGGGGGAGCCUGCCACUCCCAAUCGCCCGAUG
rnacentral:rRNA from 1 species